GACGAACGCUGGCGGCGUGCCUAAUACAUGCAAGUCGAGCGCAGGAAGCAAAACAAUCCUUCGGGUGCGUUUGUGGAAUGAGCGGCGGACGGGUGAGUAACACGUGGGCAACCUGCCUGUAAGACGGGGAUAACUUCGGGAAACCGGGGCUAAUACCGGGUAAUCUUUUGCAUCGCAUGAUGCAAGGGUAAAAGAUGGUUCUGCUAUCGCUUACAGAUGGGCCCGCGGUGUAUUAGCUAGUUGGUGAGGUAAUGGCUCACCAAGGCGACGAUACAUAGCCGACCUGAGAGGGUGAUCGGCCACACUGGGACUGAGACACGGCCCAG
rnacentral:rRNA from 1 species